CAAAUACUCCCUCCGUUCGGAAUUACUUGUCUUGGAAAUGGAUGUAUCUAGAACUAAAAUACGUCUAGAUACAUUCAUUUUCGCGACAAGUAAUUCCGAACGGAGGGAGUAGAUG
rnacentral:pre_miRNA from 1 species